rnacentral:rRNA from 1 species
UACGUAGGGCGCAAGCGUUGUCCGGAAUUAUUGGGCGUAAAGAGCUCGUAGGCGGUUUGUCGCGUCUGCUGUGAAAACUCGAGGCUCGAACCUCGGCUUGCAGUGGUACGGGCAGACUAGAGUGCGGUAGGGUGACUGGAAUUCCUGGUGAUAGCGGUGGAAUGCGGCAGACUAUCAGGAGGAACACCGAGUGGCGAAGGCAGGUC